GAUGAACGCUGGCGGCGUGCCUAAUACAUGCAAGUAGAACGCUGAAGGAGGAGCUUGCUCUUCUGGAUGAGUUGCGAACGGGUGAGUAACGCGUAGGUAACCUGCCUGGUAGCGGGGGAUAACUAUUGGAAACGAUAGCUAAUACCGCAUGACAACAGUUAUUGCAUGAUAACUGUUUAAAAGGGGCAACUGCUCCACUACCAGAUGGACCUGCGUUGUAUUAGCUAGUUGGUGAGGUAACGGCUCACCAAGGCGACGAUACAUAGCCGACCUGAGAGGGGGGUCGGCCACACUGGGACUGAGACACGGCCCAGACUCCUACGGGAGGCAGCAGUAAGGAAUCUUCGGCAAUGGACGGAAGUCUGACCGAGCAACGCCGCGGGAGUGAAGAAGGUUUUCGGAUCGUAAAGCUCUGUUGUAAGAGAAGAACGAGUGUGGGAGUGGAAAGUUCACACUGUGACGGUAUCUUACCAGAAAGGGACGGCUAACUACGUG
rnacentral:rRNA from 1 species